rnacentral:lncRNA from 10 species
CCUAGCCAUGAGCAUGGAAUGUUCUUCCAUUUGUUUGUAUCCUCUUUUAUUUCCUUGAGCAGUGGUUUGUAGUUCUCCUUGAAGAGGUCCUUCACAUCCCUUGUAAGGUGGAUUCCUAGGUAUUUUAUUCUCUUUGAAGCAAAUGUGAAUGGUAGUUCACUCAUGAUUUGGCUCUCUGUUUGUCUGUUAUUGGUGUAUAAGAAUGCUUGUGAUUUUUGCACA